CUAGCAAAUUUACGUUCUGGACGAGAAUAGAGAAGAUAAAACAGUGCAAGACUACUUUUGUUGGAAUAAGCGCGCAGAAGCAAAUAUUAAUCAUCCAUAAUUCAAAGAUGCAACUUUUUAUCUUUGAGGUCUCGCCAGAGUUUACUCAAUCUCGAACACUUCUGUUUCUCCCAGGAAUUUCUAGCAUUAAUGAUGUUCAAGCUGAGGGCUAUUACCUUAAAGUAGUUUUACUUGGCGAUGAUGGCAAACUUAAACGUCGGAGUAUCAACCUAUCUCG